rnacentral:rRNA from 1 species
UUCCCCUAGUAACUGCGAGUGAAGCGGGAAAAGCUCAAAUUUAAAAUCUGGUGGUCUUUGGUCAUCCGAGUUGUAAUCUAGAGAAGUGUUAUCCGCGCUGGACCGUGUACAAGUCUCCUGGAAUGGAGCGUCAUAGAGGGUGAGAAUCCCGUCUUUGACACGGACUGCCAGGGCUUUGUGAUGCGCUCUCAAAGAGUCGAGUUGUUUGGGAAUGCAGCUCAAAAUGGGUGGUAAAUUCCAUCUAAAGCUAAAUAUUGGCGAGAGACCGAUAGCGAACAAGUACCGUGAGGGAAAGAUGAAAAGAACUUUGGAAAGAGAGUUAAACAGUACGUGAAAUUGCUGAAAGGGAAACGCUUGAAGUCAGUCGCGUUGGCCGGGAAUCAACCUUGCUUUUGCUGGGCGUACUUUCCGGUUGACGGGUCAGCAUCAAUUUUGACCGUUGGAUAAAGUUCAGGGGAAUGUGGCAUCUUCGGAUGUGUUAUAGCCUUUGUUCGCAUACAACGGUUGGGAUUGAGGAACUCAGCACGCCGCAAGGCCGGGUAUUUAUACCACGUUCGUGCUUAGGAUGCUGGCAUAAUGGCUUUAAUCGACCCGUCUUGAAACACGGACCAAGGAGUCUAACAUGCCUGCGAGUGUUUGGGUGGAAAACCCGAGCGCGUAAUGAAAGUGAAAGUUGAGAUCCCUGUCGUGGGGAGCAUCGACGCCCGGACCAGACCUUUUGUGACGGAUCCGCGGUAGAGCAUGUAUGUUGGGACCCGAAAGAUGGUGAACUAUGCCUGAAUAGGGUGAAGCCAGAGGAAACUCUGGUGGAGGCUCGUAGCGAUUCUGACGUGCAAAUCGAUCGUCAAAUUUGGGUAUAGGGGCGAAAG